rnacentral:rRNA from 1 species
UACGGAAGGGGCGAGCGUUGUUCGGAAUCAUUGGGCGUAAAGGGUGCGUAGGCGGGUCUUUAAGUCAGGGGGGAAAUCCUGGAGCUCAACUCCAGAACUGCCUUUGAUACUGAAGAUCUUGAGUUCGGGAGAGGUGAGUGGAACUGCGAGUGUAGAGGUGAAAUUCGUAGAUAUUCGCAAGAACACCAGUGGCGAAGGCGGCUCACUGGCCCGAUACUGACGCUGAGGCACGAAAGCGUGGGGAGCAAACAGG